CGGAGCAUGGCGCAGUCUGGUAGCGCACCUGGUUUGGGACCAGGGGGCCGUAGGUUCAAAUCCUACUGUUCCGACCA
rnacentral:tRNA from 3 species